rnacentral:rRNA from 1 species
AUACGUAGGGGACAAGCGUUGUCCGGAAUGACUGAGCGUAAAGGGCGCGUAGGCGGUCUAUUAAGUCUGAUGUGAAAGGUACCGGCUCAACCGGUGAAGUGCAUUGGAAACUGGUAGACUUGAGUAUUGGAGAGGCAAGUGGAAUUCCUAGUGUAGCGGUGAAAUGCGUAGAUAUUAGGAGGAACACCAGUGGCGAAGGCGGCUUGCUGGACAAAUACUGACGCUGAGGUGCGAAAGCGUGGGGAGCGAACAGGAUUAGAUACCCUGGUAGUCCACGCCGUAAACGAUGAAUGCUAGGUGUUGGGGAAACUCAGUGCCGCAGUUAACACAAUAAGCAUUCCGCCUGGGGAGUACGACCGCAAGGUUGAAACUCAAAGGAAUUGACGGGG